CUUUAAAUGAAUAAUACCAAUGUUUAUUGGCGAGAUAAUGCACAAGUGACAAAUCUCAAGUCCUUUUGCCCCACGUCAUGCUUUCUGUGCAGCAUAGGCAUCUAUAACAUCAUCUGGAUCAAUGUUGUCUAGUAAGAUUACAUGGCAGUGGCGUAAUAUUUAAUGUAAGAUAUUUUUUAGGACAUUCAUUUGGGGGCCCCGGGGAACUUUCAAAUUUGGACCCACCCUAGCUUAGCCAAUGUAUCUUAUCAAUCUUAUCAUGUAAGUUACACAUGUUCAUUCAUAAAAGAAAAUAAUUAGGUUAAUAAAACUAAGGAAAUAUCUAAGGGAGAAAACUGUAUAAAUCAUUUCAGCAUCUAUGAUGUUAAGGUAUAACAAUUUAUUCACUAGGAGAACGUCAAAAAUUCAUUUCACAAUUUCGCUUCAACAGAAAAAAACAAACGUUUGAAAUCAAGGCUAAAAUAACCUUUUCUUUGUAUUUUAUUACCUGUGUACAAUUAAUAUUAUCACAAAGUAAAAAUGAAAAUUUAAGUCAAACAUCUCAAGUACGUAAUGUAUAUCUUUUAUAAUAAUCAUCAGAAUAACAUACAAUAUCAACUCAAUUCUUUCAUUGCUGGACAGCAUAAAGAUGUAUAUCUUUUAUUUAUAAUAUGCAUCAGAUUAACAUACUCAAUUCUGUCAAUGACUUCAUAAAGAUGACAGAAUAUUUUUGCCUUGAAGUUUGUUGAGUCAUGGGGGGGGGGGGGGGGGGGGG